AACGCGAAGAACCUUACCUACACUUGACAUCCCUUGCAUUACCCGUAAUUGGGGAAAUCUCUUCGGAGACAAGGUGACAGGUGGUGCAUGGUUGUCGUCAGCUCGUGUCGUGAGAUGUUGGGUUAAGUCCCGCAACGAGCGCAACCCCUAUUGUUAGUUGCUACUAUUAAGUUAAGCACUCUAGCGAGACUGCCUGGGUUAACCAGGAGGAAGGUGGGGACGACGUCAAAUCAUCAUGCCCCUUAUGUGUAGGGCUACACACGUGCUACAAUGGCUGGUACAGAGAGACGCAAGACCGUGAGGUGGAGCAAAUCCCAGAAAACCAGUCCCAGUUCGGAUUGAAGGCUGAAACUCGCCUUCAUGAAGCCGGAGUUGCUAGUAAUCGCGAAUCAGAAUGUCGCGGUGAAUACGUUCCCGGGCCUUGUACACACCG
rnacentral:rRNA from 1 species